GCCUACAAGCCUUUUUUGCUGUUCUGCAGGAAGCUAGACCAAGAAUGAAGUUAAUGCAUGGAUUAGGGAGAAACAAAGUGAAACUUAGCAAAACUGAUCCAGGACCCUGAUGACACGUGAAUGGAUCUGAUUCACGAUUUUGGUAUCUGACUGAUGCUGUCUUCGUGGAAUGAGUUAGGAAAGAGUCCCUCCUCGUCAACUGUUGGGAAUACAUUCAGCAGGGUUGGUAUCAUUGCAUGUCUGGCAGAAUUUGACUAGGAAUCCAUCUGGUCCAGGAUUUUUUUUGUUGGGAGGGGCCAAGAUGGCUGAAUAGGAACAGCUCCAAUCUGCAGCUCCAAGCAAGACGAAUGCAGAAGAAAUGCGUAAAUGGCGACAGUAGAGCCAGCCUUCAUGAAUCCAGAAAUGUGAGCCACAUUUUGAGGAUAGCAGAGUCACUGCAGAAGCCUGGAUCCUUGCAUAACCUUGUCGAGUGGGAAAAUCUACCCAUACUUGACCAACCACCUAACUGGGGGCUCUACAUCUGAGAGAAAUGAUUUUUUAUCUUAUUUAAGCCACUGUAGUUAGGAGUCAGUUUAUUACAGGACAUUGCCUGGUGUUCCAACAAAUAAACUACCUUAUUUGUUUCAAUAAAUAAA
ensembl:lncRNA HAS2-AS1 HAS2 antisense RNA 1